AGGCAUCGCACAAUGGAAGUGCGCAGAAUGUCAACUUGUAUAACCCAGCUGGAGGUUUGCAGACAAAUAGAGAGGCAUGGUCCAAGGAACAGGAAGUGGAGAAAGGCAU